UAGUACGAGAGGACCGGAGUGGACGCAUCACUGGUGUUCGGGUUGUCAUGCCAAUGGCACUGCCCGGUAGCUAAAUGCGGAAGAGAUAAGUGCUGAAAGCAUCUAAGCACGAAACUUGCCCCGAGAUGAGUUCUCCCUGACUCCUUGAGAGUCCUGAAGGAACGUUGAAGACGACGACGUUGAUAGGCCGGGUGUGUAAGCGCAGCGAUGCGUUGAGCUAACCGGUACUAAUGAACCGUGAGGCUUAACCUUAC
rnacentral:rRNA from 1 species